rnacentral:tRNA from 1 species
GGGCCCAUAGCUCAGCUGGUAGAGCGCAUGGCUGGCAGCCAUGAGGUCGGGGGUUCGAGUCCCCCUGGGUCCACCA